UUGACAGAAGAGAGUGAGCACACAUGGUGUUUUCUUGCAUGAGAAAUGGAGUGCAUGCUCGAAGCUAUGCGUGCUCACUACUCUAUCUGUCAG
rfam:Ananas comosus cultivar MD2 ACMD2_Scaffold_987, whole genome shotgun sequence.